rnacentral:rRNA from 1 species
AGCUACAGGCUUAACACAUGCAAGUCGAGGGGCAGCAUGGUCUUAGCUUGCUAAGGCCGAUGGCGACCGGCGCACGAGUGAGUAACACGUAUCCAACCUGCCGUCUACUCUUGGACAGCCUUCUGAAAGGAAGAUUAAUACAAGAUGGCAUCAUGAGUCCGCAUGUUCACAUGAUUAAAGGUAUUCCGGUAGACGAUGGGGAUGCGUUCCAUUAGAUAGUAGGCGGGGUAACGGCCCACCUAGUCUUCGAUGGAUAGGGGUUCUGAGAGGAAGGUCCCCCACAUUGGAACUGAGACACGGUCCAAACUCCUACGGGAGGCAGCAGUGAGGAAUAUUGGUCAAUGGGCGAGAGCCUGAACCAGCCAAGUAGCGUGAAGGAUGACUGCCCUAUGGGUUGUAAACUUCUUUUAUAAAGGAAUAAAGUCGGGUAUGGAUACCCGUUUGCAUGUACUUUAUGAAUAAGGAUCGGCUAACUCCGUGCCAGCAGCCGCGGUAAUACGGAGGAUCCGAGCGUUAUCCGGAUUUAUUGGGUUUAAAGGGAGCGUAGAUGGAUGUUUAAGUCAGUUGUGAAAGUUUGCGGCUCAACCGUAAAAUUGCAGUUGAUACUGGAUAUCUUGAGUGCAGUUGAGGCAGGCGGAAUUCGUGGUGUAGCGGUGAAAUGCUUAGAUAUCACGAAGAACUCCGAUUGCGAAGGCAGCCUGCUAAGCUGCAACUGACAUUGAGGCUCGAAAGUGUGGGUAUCAAACAGGAUUAGAUACCCUGGUAGUCCACACGGUAAACGAUGAAUACUCGCUGUUUGCGAUAUACUGCAAGCGGCCAAGCGAAAGCGUUAAGUAUUCCACCUGGGGAGUACGCCGGCAACGGUGAAACUCAAAGGAAUUGACGGGGGCCCGCACAAGCGGAGGAACAUGUGGUUUAAUUCGAUGAUACGCGAGGAACCUUACCCGGGCUUAAAUUGCAGAUGAAUUACGGUGAAAGCCGUAAGCCGCAAGGCAUCUGUGAAGGUGCUGCAUGGUUGUCGUCAGCUCGUGCCGUGAGGUGUCGGCUUAAGUGCCAUAACGAGCGCAACCCUUGUUGUCAGUUACUAACAGGUUCCGCUGAGGACUCUGACAAGACUGCCAUCGUAAGAUGUGAGGAAGGUGGGGAUGACGUCAAAUCAGCACGGCCCUUACGUCCGGGGCUACACACGUGUUACAAUGGGGGGUACAGAGGGCCGCUACCACGCGAGUGGAUGCCAAUCCCCAAAACCUCUCUCAGUUCGGACUGGAGUCUGCAACCCGACUCCACGAAGCUGGAUUCGCUAGUAAUCGCGCAUCAGCCACGGCGCGGUGAAUACGUUCCCGGGCCUUGUACACACCGCCCGUCAAGCCAUGGGAGCCGGGGGUACCUGAAGUGCGUAACCGCGAGGAGCGCCCUAGGGUAAAACUGGUGACUGGGGCUAAGUCGUA